GAUGAACGCUAGCGGCAGGCUUAAUACAUGCAAGUCGAGGGGCAGCGCAGUGUAGCAAUACAUGGGCGGCGACCGGCAAACGGGUGCGGAACACGUACACAACCUUCCUACAAGUGGAGAAUAGCCCAGAGAAAUAUGGAUUAAUACCCCGUAACAUAGCGAUGUGGCAUCACAUUGCUAUUAUCGCUUCGGCGCUUGUUGAUGGGUGUGCGGCUGAUUAGAUAGUUGGCGGGGUAACGGCCCACCAAGUCUACGAUCAGUAGCUGAUGUGAGAGCAUGAUCAGCCAGACGGGCACUGAGACACGGGCCCGACUCCUACGGGAGGCAGCAGUAAGGAAUAUUGGACAAUGGACGCAAGUCUGAUCCAGCCAUGCCGCGCGAAGGAUUAAGGUCCUCUGGAUUGUAAACUUCUUUUAUAAGGGACGAAAAAAGGUCUUUCUAGAUCGUCUGACGGUACCUUAUGAAUAAGCACCGGCUAACUCCGUGCCAGCCGCCGCGGUAAGAC
rnacentral:rRNA from 1 species